UGGGGAAUCUUGGACAAUGGGCGCAAGCCUGAUCCAGCCAUGCCGCGUGGAUGAUGAAGGCCUUAGGGUUGUAAAAUCCUUUCGUUGGGGACGAUAAUGACGGUACCCAAAGAAGAAGCUCCGGCUAACUUCGUGCCAGCAGCCGCGGUAAUACGAAGGGGGCUAGCGUUGUUCGGAUUUACUGGGCGUAAAGCGCGUGUAGGCGGACUUGUAAGUUGGGGGUGAAAUCCCGAGGCUCAACCUCGGAACUGCCUCCAAAACUACAAAUCUGGGCCUAAGUAGAGGCAAGUGGAAUUGCGAGUGUAGAGGUGAAAUUCGUAGAUAUUCGCAGGAACACCAGUGGCGAAGGCGACUUGCUGGACUUAUGGUGACGCUGAGACGCGAAAGCGUGGGGAGCAAACAGGAUUAGAUACCCCAGUAGUCCCUGAGCGGGCUGGCAAGGCGCAU
rnacentral:rRNA from 1 species